CUGCCAUUGGCCGGCCAACCCGCCCGUCUUUCUCUCUCUCCGCUCCCCCUCCCUUGUAUCUUUCUCUAGAAGUAGCAAUUCCCGUUGCCUUAGCUACGGCCGAGGUCCCUCCCCUGCUAACUGCUGCUAUUUCGGUCAGCAUCAGCAUCAAGGUUGCCCCUAACCUCUGUGACUCUUCCUGGUUCUGCUGCCGGGCUUCUCCGUGGCGCCUGGGGAAGGAGGGGACCGGGCAGGUUAGAAAACCCGAGGUGUUGGGUGCUGCUGGUGCAAAGCGAAACAGCUCUGGCGGCGGGGGCAUCCACAGAGGACAAAGUGAGGCAAUCCCUGGGGCCCCUACGAAGCCCCCCUGUUGGGUGCGGGGGGCUGAACCUGGGCCCCCGAAGCGAGAUCCCUGGCUGUGCUGAUUGUGGGGCAGUCAUGGGGGGAGCUGGCCCCCAUAUCCACGACUGGGGAUCAGAACGGAUAGAGCCCUGCGGCAUCAGCUGCAGUACACGGCAAAGCCCCCAGGUGACGUGUGAAGCACGUAUCCCUUCAACAGAAACCACCCCAGCUGCAGGAGGUGAGUACAGAAGCUGUUUGGGGGGGUAUAAACUGGACAACCAGAGCGGGGGUUCUCUUUGACAAUUGAUUUUUAAAGCCUUUUUGUUUUCAACUGGGCAGUAGUGGACUUUCUGAUCAACUCCCUUCCAAGCCACGAUGGCUCAAGGGGCUCUUUCAUCUCUACUCCACAGUGUGAACAAGGAAUGGAGUAUUGGUACAGCCUGUGCUUGAAAAGUCACUCACCGCCAUUUCCUUGAGCUUUUGACAAUGAGCAGCUGAAAUUAGAGUGUGGGCUGUGCCAAAAUCUCUUCCCUGUCCAUCCUGCAAAAAACGAUUAAAGAAUCCCUUGCCUGCUUCUGUUUUAGAACAAGAGGAGCCAUCCUGGAGAUGGGGGUGCAGAAUGAGAGCUUCAGGGACCAAUCCGUCACCAUAUGCUUCCUUCCAAUUUAAAGAAUAGUGGAACAUAGGCAACCAUUUGGUACUGCUAGUAGGAGAACCUUUGCUCCUGCCACUGGAGCGGGCUUGUAAAUAACUAAUUGUCCAUGGCAAAUAAGUGUCGCUUGAAGUCUCUACAAAAAGUUUAUUCUUUCACUCCCUGCUACUCCCUGAGUACAGACUAACAGGGGCAGAUGGGAGGCAGGAAGAUCUUUUUGUGAAACGCAGGUGAAGUCAGGAUUGACUUCUCUGUGUGCACCAAAAUUUCCCGUUGCCUUUUCUGCCCAAGUUGGCCAAAGGAAGCACUGCAGACUCUUGCCACUGUGGUGUCUGUUCACCCCCAAGGUAUUUAGCAAGAGAGAAACCUGCCCCCUGAAACAAAGGCAUAGAAAAGCAAGCUUAUCUUGAAUAAUGUUUGUUCUUGUGGAGCUAGUAAACAAACAAACAAACAAACAAAAUGUUAAGAUUCUGAUUUAAAUGCUUCCACUGGGGCAGUAGAUCCAGGGUGUCCAAUGGCAGCCUUCCAAAUGUUCCUGGAAUGAUGGGAGUUAUAGUUCAGGAACACCCAGAAGGCUGCACUGAGCAUCCCUACAAUAGACACUUGCCACAUUUUUUCAGCAAAAAGAAAUCUCUGUGGUUGAUUCUG
rnacentral:lncRNA from 1 species